UGAUAAACAAAAAAUUAUGUAGAAUCAAAAUAAACAGUUGAUAUGCAGCAAUGCAGCAGAAAAUGAUUGGCAUAUGCACUGCACAAAUAGUCUGGCAAGAAUAUUAUUUCUGUAAGCUUUGAACAAGCUAAUAAUUGGGACCAUUUUCAACCAUGCCUAGGUGAGCCCUUGGUUGUUUUUGAGGUUGGCUGCAGUGGAUUACCAUGGGUUUGCUGUCUGUUGAGAGCCAGCUGUGCAGGUAUUCCUAUAGAAUGUUAACUGCCAGCUUCCUGAAUUUAUUCUGCUGAUUCUUCCUGAAGAAUUUUAUUCUCUAUGUCUUCUACAUGAGAUCCCCUAACCCUUCCUAGUCACUCUA
rnacentral:lncRNA from 1 species